rnacentral:rRNA from 1 species
CCUACGGGAGGCAGCAGUGAGGAAUCUUGGUCAAUGGACGAGAGUCUGAACCAGCCACGUAGCGUGAAGGAUGACUGCACUAUGGGUUGUAAACUUCUUUUAUAAAGGAAUAAAACGAGGCACGUGUGCCUUUUUGCAUGGACUUUAUUAAUAAGGAUCGGCUAACUCCGUGCCAGCAGCCGCGGUAAUACGGAGGAUCCGAGCGUUAUCCGGAAUUAUUGGGUUUAAAGUGAGCGUAGCUGGGUUGUUAAGUCAGUUGUGAAAGUUUGGGGCUCAACCGUAAGAUUGCAAUUGAUACUGGGAGACUUGAGUACAGUUGGGGGAGGCGGAAUUCGUGGUGUAGCGGUGAAAUGCUUAGAUAUCACGAAGAACCCCGAUUGCGAAGGCAGCUUACUAGACUGUGACUGACAUUGAUGCUCGAAAGUGUGGGUAUCGAACAGGAUUAGAUACCCUGGUAGUC